ACCGCUAUUUUAGGAGUAUAUAACCCCCACCUAUUGGAUGACCAACCCAUGUCACCGCGUACACCACUGUGGCCGCCACUUGACGGCAGGUGGUGGACACCAAUGCAACCACACUGGCGGCUUCCCUUGCCUAGCUACACGUUGCAUCUCUGUUUCAUCUUCGCUAGGUAAUUUGUGUACUUCUGCUCUCUUUUCUCUCUGUCUAAGCAUGUGCUUAUUAGCGAUUAGCACUCACAUCAUAACUAUUACUAGCUUAGAGGACAGUUUUUAUUCUCUAGACUGUUAUUUCUUACAUCUGUAAUAAUAAAACAUGUGGAAGGGGGUUCUUUUCAUUCUUCAUUGUGAUAUCUCAUUGCAGCAAGUUUUAAUUCUACAAGUAGAUGAAUCGUUAUUUCUUUCAAAUUCAGAUCUAAUGGUGGGUGUAUAGUACAGAAAAUUGUAUACCUAACUGGUCCUUAAUCUAAGCAGAAUGUUUAUCAGGUAUUGCGUGCAGGUUUGUGGGGAUGACACAUAUUUGGAGGUCCAGCUCCUGCUUGCAUGCGCAAAAAGUUCAUGAUUUGCAUCUCUAAUACAACAUGGUAAGUCUUUUUCAUUCUUGAUCUCUCCAUUACGCUAUGUUCCAUUUCAUGAAUGGAAGGAAUUCCGGUUUGAAUUCACAUGAUGUUCAAACACAUAAAUACCGGAUGUGCUGAAUUGCUAACAUACCGAAAAAAUGCUACAGCUUGAUGACUAUGUAGUAAAGUUCAUUCAGAACUUAGUUCUAGCGACAUGGGUCUUGGGGAGUAUAUUGGGUUCCAAUACAAUUGAGCAUGAUUUAUUCGCAGUAUACUACAAAACUACAUUAUUCCCAGGUCAAGCAUUAUAUUUUGGGCAUAACUUUACGUGCAAUGCAAGUCAGCAAAACAGAUGAGAUUUUUUUUCUUACUCCAGAACCACUUAAUUUUUCUCUACUGAUUUCCCCUUUGGAUCUUUGUAGGAGAUAAUGGCACAUCGAUUUGAUAUUUUUAGCAGUACUGUUUAUAUUUUAUUUUCCAAGAAAUACUCAAAAGUAUUGGUGGUAUGACACUUGAGUACAUUUGUUGAUCUUUUAUUAUGAGCACAUGCUUUUUCCUAUCUAAUAUUAGGACUACGCAUCGUUGUGAUCCGUGUGAUAUGGGGCUUAAUGAUUUGAGAGUCGUUGUCCCCAAAUUAUUCUAAAAUGGUCGGUGGGUUUUUAUGUAUCCAUCAGCAGCUUUAGUUUUUGUGAACAUAUUUGUCUAACAGUUGAGUACAUGUACCAGCAAUAUAGAAAUGGAAAUUGCUAAUGACCCAUAUGAUUGCUUUCACUAGCGAGCUCAGGUGACAGUUCAGAGAGAAACUUCAAUGUUCUCUAAUAUCUGAUUGACCCACAGAGAAUUUUUAUUGAUGUUCUAGUACUGCAUACUAAUGUAUUUUCAAUGCAUUUUAUAGCUUAGGGUGUGAAAUAUUCAUUUUGUGCAGCUUGCGAUCAUCAACUAUUUAAGACUGGUGAAAUUUAUGGUGUUGUGGAACUAUUGAAGUUAGUACAAAGUCGAGACACUUAUAUUGAGAUGGAGGGAUUAUAAGUUUACUUACAGUUGAACUGAACCUCAAAUGUAGAAAGCAGAUGGUCGUCAAGAAUCGGAAAAUGCUCAUGCUUGAAAUAGCAAUGUGACCAAGCAAGGUGGUACUGAAUCAAGUGUAUAACUUCCUGUGUCACUAAGCACAUCAAGAAAAUACAUUUGUAGGCAGUAUGUUUGGCGAAGUAUCUUGGUUUUUUAGGUCAAAAAGCCAAAGCUGACCACUCCAACACAACCUAAGACAUUGGUGCUCCAAGACAACCUCAAGACAUUUCUACGGUACUUCUCUCAUAGUUUUAUCAAAGAACAUUUCAUCUUGUACUAAUCCAAGAGCUUAUGUUCUAAGCUUCUCUUUGUUGAAAAAUUUCUUCCAGGCUAGCUGAGAGUUUAGAAUUGGAACACAUUGCAGGAGCAAGCAGCAACUACGCAAGAAUUAGUCUUUAAAUGAACACAUAUUAUGUAUAAUGUAUGGAAAGCUUAGUUCUACUUUAUAGUAUAUAUAUUCUCUUAAUUAUUUACAUCUUUCAUAUGAAUGUCUGAUUUGAUUCAGUUGUGAACUCCAUACACAAACGUAUGUAUUUGUUCAUAGAUUUG
rnacentral:lncRNA from 1 species